ensembl:piRNA 21ur-1269 ncRNA
UGAUACAGUGAUUUGGAUUUU